CAGUCGCCACGGUAAUACGGAGGGUGCAAGCGUUAAUCGGAAUUACUGGGCGUAAAGCGCACGCAGGCGGUCUGUCAAGUCGGAUGUGAAAUCCCCGGGCUCAACCUGGGAACUGCAUUCGAAACUGGCAGGCUAGAGUCUUGUAGAGGGGGGUAGAAUUCCAGGUGUAGCGGUGAAAUGCGUAGAGAUCUGGAGGAAUACCGGUGGCGAAGGCGGCCCCCUGGACAAAGACUGACGCUCAGGUGCGAAAGCGUGGGGAGCAAACAGGAUUAGAUACCCGCGUAGUCCCUGUCUCUUAUAC
rnacentral:rRNA from 1 species